rnacentral:rRNA from 1 species
CGGUGCAGGAUGGGCCCGCGGCCUAUCAGCUUGUUGGUGGGGUAAUGGCCUACCAAGGCGACGACGGGUAGCCGACCUGAGAGGGUGACCGGCCACACUGGGACUGAGACACGGCCCAGACUCCUACGGGAGGCAGCAGUGGGGAAUAUUGCACAAUGGGCGAAAGCCUGAUGCAGCGACGCCGCGUGAGAGAUGACGGCCUUCGGGUUGUAAACCUCUUUCAGCAGGGACGAAGCGCAAGUGACGGUACCUGCAGAAGAAGCACCGGCUAACUACGUGCCAGCAGCCGCGGUAAUACGUAGGGUGCAAGCGUUGUCCGGAAUUACUGGGCGUAAAGAGUUCGUAGGCGGUUUGUCGCGUCGUUUGUGAAAACCAGCAGCUCAACUGCUGGCUUGCAGGCGAUACGGGCAGACUUGAGUACUGCAGGGGAGACUGGAAUUCCUGGUGUAGCGGUGAAAUGCGCAGAUAUCAGGAGGAACACCGGUGGCGAAGGCGGGUCUCUGGGCAGUAACUGACGCUGAGGAACGAAAGCGUGGGUAGCGAACAGGAUUAGAUACCCUGGUAGUCCACGCCGUAAACGGUGGGCGCUAGGUGUGGGUUCCUUCCACGGAAUCCGUGCCGUAGCU